rnacentral:rRNA from 1 species
UACGGGGGGGGCAAGCGUUGUUCGGAAUUACUGGGCGUAAAGGGCGCGUAGGCGGCCUGCUAAGUCGGAUGUGAAAUCCCUCGGCUCAACCGAGGAACUGCAGCCGAUACGGGCGGGCUGGAGUUCGGUAGGGGAGACUGGAAUUCCUGGUGUAGCGGUGAAAUGCGCAGAUAUCAGGAGGAACACCGGUGGCGAAGGCGGGUCUCUGGGCAGUAACUGACGCUGAGGAGCGAAAGCGUGGGGAGCGAACAGG